rnacentral:lncRNA from 1 species
AAAGGAUAUCGGAUUUGCCACAAAAGGGUAACACAACACAAUAAUGUAUUUAAACCAGAAAAAAACCCAGAAACUCUGGAAUAUAAGGUGUACCAAAACUGUAGGAUUCAGGAUCAAUUUUUGAUCUAUGUCAACUGUUUUGUCUUGCAAACUGGAUGUGAUGUACCAUGAUAGUAUAAUGAAUUAGUUAAAUCUCCCAUCAUCUUGGAUUGUGAAAUAUAAUCGAAUAAUCUGUUUUUGUCAUCAACAACGAGAAUUUCAAAAUAGAAGUGCAAUUUAUGUUUAGGCCUUAAUCGAACGAUAAAAAGUAAUUGGUCAAUUCCUUAUACCAGGACUAUAUAAAAAAGAAGAUGUAUUAUGAUUGCCAAUAAGCCAGCUAUCCACAAAAGACUAAAAUUACACAGACAUUUACAACUAUAGGUCACCGGACGGCCUUCAACAUACCGCAUAGUCAGCUAUAAAACGCCCCGGUAAGACAAUGUAAAACAAUUCAAACGAGAAAACUAACGGCCUUACUAUAUAACAAAACAUGAAAGAAAACAAAAUAUGUAACACAUAAACAAACGACAACCACUGAACUACAGGCUCCUGACUUGGGACAGGCACAUACAUAAAUAAUCAUGCGGGGUUAAACAUGAUAGCGGGAUCCCAACCCUCCCCCUAACCUGGUACAGUGGUAUAACAGUACAUCAUAAGAACGAACUAUUAAAAUCAGUUGAAAAGGCUUAACUCUUUAGAUAGACAAAAAUACAAGUGGACGUGGCUGGGUACUUAUACAUCCCGACACAAAAAGACACAAUGAACGGAUCUGAGAGUACUCGCAGUUGUCUGACAGCUAGUUCAAAGCCACUAACAACUAAUAAAAAAUCAUGCAUCUAAGACUAAACUAUCAAUCCGUACACAUCCAACAUCCAAUGGAUUUAGUGUAGAGCCGUCAUUGGUUAAAAAUGGCUAGUCAUUUUGUUUAAUUUGUUCGGGGCGUACUCCAUGUUUUAGAGUCACCACUUUAGCUCUUUCUUAAAAGAGAUAAGUUUAGCACAUCUAUUAUUGAUCCAAAUUGAAAGUAACAACGGUUUUAUCCCUC